UGGGGAAUAUUGCACAAUGGGCGCAAGCCUGAUGCAGCCAUGCCGCGUGUAUGAAGAAGGCCUUCGGGUUGUAAAGUACUUUCAGUCGGGAGGAAGGUGGUAAGGUUAAUAACCUUAUCAAUUGACGUUACCGACAGAAGAAGCACCGGCUAACUCCGUGCCAGCAGCCGCGGUAAUACGGAGGGUGCAAGCGUUAAUCGGAAUUACUGGGCGUAAAGCGCACGCAGGCGGUUGAUUGAGUCAGAUGUGAAAUCCCCGGGCGUAACCCGGGAAUUGCAUCUGAUACUGGUCAGCUAGAGUCUUGUAGAGGGGGGUAGAAUUCCAUGUGUAGCGGUGAAAUGCGUAGAGAUGUGGAGGAAUACCGGUGGCGAAGGCGGCCCCCUGGACAUAGACUGACGCUCAGGUGCGAAAGCGUGGGGAGCAAACGGG
rnacentral:rRNA from 1 species